GGAAGGAUCAUUAAUAAAUGCUUCAUUGCAUCCACCUUUUGUGCACUGUAAAUAUUUCACUUGAAUUUUGUCUGACUAAUCUUUGUUCUGAAAGGAACAUAAAUUAUAAUCUAAUACAACUUUUAACAAUGGAUCUCUUGGCUCUCGCAUCGAUGAAGAACGCAGCGAAAUGCGAUAAGUAAUGUGAAUUGCAGAAUUCAGUGAAUCAUCGAAUCUUUGAACGCAUAUUGCGCUCUUUGGUAUUCCAGAGAGCAUGCCUGUUUGAGUAUUGGUACUAUGGGUGAACUUCCUUUGAAUUUUCAAAGUAAAAUCAUUUAAAACCCUAUUGAGACAUCUUGGCAAUCUUUUUCAAGUGUCUUAAAAUUCAAUUGAAUUUUCCAUGUUCCUGUGGAAGAUGACUAGUUUAUGGAGUAAUAUGGUAAGGGUUGCCCCUGACCUGAAAAAGUGCUGUCAAAGGCUCUUUUUCUUACUUUUCUUCUAGUUGUCUUCAGCUGAAACAUGAUCUUUGAAUGCCCUUGAAGAAGACAUUCAAAAGUUUUAAUCUCAAUCUCAAAUCAGGUAGGAUUACCCGCUGAACUUAAGCAUAUUAAUAAGCGGAGGAAAAGAAACUAACAAGGAUUCCCCUAGUAACGGCGAGUGAAGCGGGAAGAGCUCAAAUUUGGAAUCUGGGUAGGUCUCCUACUCCGAGUUGUAAUCUAUAGACGUGUUUUCGGUGGUUGUGUUGGUAUAAAUCCUUUGGAACAGGGUAUCAUAGAGGGUGAAAAUCCCGUCUUUGACUGACAUACAACUGCCAUGUGAUACAUGUUCAAAGAGUCGCAUUGUUUGGGAAUGCAGUGCAAAUUGGGUGGUAAAUUUCAUCCAAAGCUAAAUAAUGGCGAGAGACCGAUAGCGAACAAGUACCGUGAGGGAAAGAUGAAAAGAACUUUGAAAAGAGAGUUAAAUAGUACGUGAAAUUGUUAAAAGGGAAACGCAUGAAAUCAGUAAACUUCAUAGCAAAUCAGCCAAGUGUUGUCCAUUUAUGGGCAACAUAUGGUGCACUUUGCUGUAAAGGAGUCAACAUCAGUUUGGGCUGAUGGAUAUACCUCUAUGGAAGGUAACCACAUUUGUGGUGUUUAGCCAUGGAAGGAACACAUCGGUCUGGACUGAGGUCUGCAGCACACUUUUUGCGGAAUAAACUAGUGCUGCCGACUGCUUAACGGCCCUCAACUUGUUGAGUGUUGGUAAGUAAGCGGCAACCAUUGGUCUCUGUACUUUUGUGCUUGGGAUGUUGACAAAAUGGUUUUAUACGACCCGUCUUGAAACACGGACCAAGGAGUCUAACAUAUAUGCGAGUAUUUGGGUGUCAAACCCACAUGCGGAAUGAAAGUGACAAUGAUGGGACCUGCAAAGGGCACCAUCGACCGAUCUUGAAAUUUUUGGAUAGAUUUGAGUAAGAGCAUAUCUGUUGGGACCCGAAAGAUGGUGAACUAUACUUGAAUAGGGUGAAGCCAGAGGAAACUCUGGUGGAGGCUCGUAGCGAUUCUGACGUGCAAAUCGAUCGUCAAAUUUGAGUAUAGGGGCGAAAGACUAAUCGAACCAUCUAGUAGCUGGUUCCUGC
rnacentral:misc_RNA from 1 species